GCUGUGACCCUCCAGGAGCGGUAACUGCAGAUACAAAUCUCUGCAGCUGCUGGAAACAGGGCACUCGGCAGCUGCUCCAGCGCCCCUCUCCUGUGGCCUGCUUGCUUACCAGGCCCAGGGCCCAUCCUGGGGGCCUGCGACCUUGGGCUGCGGGGGUCGGGGAGGGGGCUGGGGCAGAGAGGUGGCAAUUUUGCUCUCUAUUUUAGGCAUCACUGGCAGGAAUGAGAGAAGAGACUGGAAGGAUCAGUCAUCUCUCCAUCAUCUCUCUCCCCUGAGGAUCCCCACAGGGGUAAGAUCAUAGAUGGGUCUUCCCGCGAGGGUCAGGGACUGGGAAAUAUUCACAGACGGGGCACGCAGCUGAAGAUCUGAGAAACCAAUUACUAUGCUACUGGGGGGCCCAGGAGAAGCAGAAGGAACUGGACCGGGACAGCCGCUCACGCUUCAAGGGCAGGAAUGGAGGUGACUCCAGGAACCUGUCAACUGUGGGGGCAGGGGGCUUCCAACAGAGGUAGGUGGGGGUCUUCUUCAGGAAAAGGGCUGGAAGGAGGGGCUCAGCUCAUGGGAGAGGAAGGAAAAAGCUGACUCUUCUCAGGAAAAAUGAGUGGACAAGGAAAGCUGGCCGAGUUCACAGGCACCUGGCAUUAGCUGACUGAAGCCAGCGUACCCUGAAGAGCCAAACAAGUCCAUGGCAGGGAUGUCUGCGGUGUCGAGAUGGUUUUAAACUUAGUCCAGAUUAUCUGCUUAAACUGCCUGUCCUAGCAGCACUGAACCUUCCAGAAUGACACAGCAGCAAGAACCCUGGUCAAGCCAGCUUCCUGAGCCGGCUUCCUAACUAGCCUGCGGUGUUUCACGAGACUAAUGGCAGAGGAGAGUGUGUAGGGCCACAGCUGUCAUGGUGAACAAGUGAGGGUCUCACCACCUGCCCCCACUGGCGAGCCCUGGGCCCCACUUCCCUCCGUCCCACUGGAAGCUCUGUGAGCCAGCCACCUCAGGCACAGCCUGGCACAUGCCCACUGCCUAUCUGAAGGCUCCUCUCAGGGACUUGGGCACCCUCACACAGCGGUAGGAGGUUUUCUGAACCUGCUUCAGCCCUCCACUGGCUCACAGGGUACCUCAGAGGUAAGGCCACCAGGGGCCUCCCAGCCACACUCCAGGUUGCCCAGAGGGUGUGGGGACUGGUCUCUGGGCUUCUGAGCAGACUGCUUGCUGUGUCAGAAACACCUCCCCCACUCCUUCCCCGACCAGUUCCUACUCAUCUUUCCUGGCUCAGCUUAGAUGUCACGUUUCAGAAGCUUUCCCAGACUCCCCCAACAGGCUGGGCACCCCCUCCCCCACAUCUGUUUCACCAAGGAUCACCACUGUGCGAUGCUAUGCUUGCAAUCGUGACUAACCCUGGCGGGCAGGGACUAGCUCUGCCCACUGCGGUGUUCCCACUGGUGGGCACUGUGCCAGGCACUGACGGACACCCAGGACAGGGUUGCUCAGUGAUACAUGGCGCUUCCUGGCUCCCCUGCCUGCCCAGCACAGCAGCAGCGCCCUGCCGCCCCCUGGGUGAAACUCUGAUCUACCCUUGCAGGGAGGGGGCCGAGCUCUUGCUCCCGGCGGUUCCAUUCUCAGAGAGGCGAGCGCUCUUGCCCGGCCUGACAGCUGUGGCCUAAUUUCCAGGGCUAUAACCGGGCUCCUUAUUUUUACCCACUUGGUAUUUUUCAUUACUGAUGCAUGGGAGAUGGCCAGGGAUUGGGAAUGGGGGAGGUGUGGGCUAAUGGAAGACGCGUAUGCGGUGGAGUCGGGGCUGUCGGGCCAAGGUGAGGGCCUGCAGGCGGGAUAGAGAAGGGGUGGGGACAGACCAGACAGAUACAUGUAUUUUUAAAUUUUACAAGGGAAAAAGAAAAUCCCAAAUCCCACCCCCUUGUUUUUCCUCAGUAAGCAUUUUCAACAAGGUCACAAAUGCGCUGGCUCUAUAGAUUUUUGGCUCCAAACCACAUUUCAGGCAGCCUUUAAAAGCCAAUUCUUGGCAUAGCUUCAGCGGAGCCUGAGGAGAGGGGAAAACUAGGGCACUUUUAUGCUUUCAGAAAACCUCAGAUCCAGGUCACAGCUUCCUGGCUCUACUGACGCUGUGGGGCACCCCCCUUCUCACAGGCCUGACCUGAGGACCCCCCUCCACCUCCCCCAGUGUUUUCUUCAGAGCAUGGAUCACAAGACCAGGUCACCUGUUUCUUUGUUACUUGUCCCUGUGGGCCCCUCCCAUGAGGCUGCAGCCCCGGGGGAGGCGUGAGCCAUGCCACAGCUGGCAUGGGGCCUGGCACAUCCCAGGCACUCAGGAAUAUUUGCGGAAUGCCCCUCUGUGUGGAGUGAGUGAAUCUUUGACCCCUGUUCCCCAGCCAGGGAGCUCUCUCCUUAUGAACUCCCCAGUGCUCUUGUCCAGCCCCUAUAAGAUGUUCCCAUCUCCCUGAAAUACCUUCUCCCCGGUCUGUGGAGGCUGGGCCCAUGUUGGCCUGGCCCAGGCCCUCCUCCGUACAAAGGCAGCAGGCAGUAAAUAUUUACAGGAGAAAUCAAAGCCUCAGUUUCUUUCUGUAUGAAAGAACCCAACUGGCCCAUAAGGUCCCUCCUGGCUUCUCCCUGACUGAGACUCUCUGGGACUCUGAUCAGUUUUGGCCCUGCGGCUACCCAGGCCUGGGUCACAUGUAUGGAGACAGGGCCCCAAGCGGGCCCUGGUAUGAGGUGCUGGGCCUGCGUCCCAAUUCCACACGCGACAAAGGGUAGAAGACCCAUCCGCUCUGCCUGCAUGGAUGCUUCCAGAAAUAGUGCUGUUGGCGGAAGGAGGCCACAAAGGAGGAAUCAGCUGGAGGCCAUACCUGGCCACCACCUCCUCACUGCCUGCUCCCACUGUGGAUCUGGAGGGUC
rnacentral:lncRNA from 1 species